AGAUAAUCCUUCCACCUGACAGGUGUAGUGUAUCAACAUGCUGAUUAAAAAGCACUGACUGGUGCACAGGUGUGUUGGACUGUGCAGAAUCCACAACCACUCAGUCACAUGCAGUUAUAUGUUGGUAAAAGACAUUUAGUAGACACAUCCUCACAACAUGAGGUGAUGUUGGUGGAUGAACGACAUGACGACGGGCCUCAGGAUCUCAUCACGGUGUCUCUGCUCUUUCAGAUCGGCAAUAAAAAGCAUGAUUUCAUUGUCCUCAGCUCCCGUCACUACCGCGGGCCAACACCUUCCAUCGCCAUCCAAGAGAAGAUGCAGCAAUGAGACGGACGUGAGGACAUCAUGGCUGGAGUGACUCCCGGUGCCUCCAGCCGCCGAGGAGCAAACACUGGUCUGUCAGGAUAUUGGCCUGGAGGGCAGGAGGAUGCUCCUCAGCCUGGCCUCUCUCUGUGGAUGUCGGUGUUUUUAAGUGGGAGGUCUGUCCGGCCUCUGGAAGGAAGCAGCUACCACACAUCCACAGUGUUGGGUUGCUGUAAUACCUCGACUGUCGGAUCUGUCAGUGCGACGCGAUCCUCAGAGAAGGUUAGAGGCUUCGGACGAGGUAUUCCUCCCUCGCUCACAGACCAAAUAUUAUUCGAUGUGACAUCUGGUUGCACUAACGGGAAUAAGUCCACCAACAAUCUCCCAGUGCACCUUUAAGCAAAACACGUUGAAUCCAUUAUUCAGCUUCUCGAGAUCAUUCCCAUUGAACGCAGUUUGCAUGUGGAGACGUGAGAAGCUCACAGGUUUCCUUCAAAGAUCUGUUCCUGCAGCAGCCAGCGCAGAACAAAACAGACUGAAAUAUCGCCAACACAGAACAGUGUGUUCAAAAACACUCAAACCACAGGAAGUCUGUAAACGGUCAAGUAGAGAAAAUAAUAUUUUAACCAGCGACACAUGACGGCAACCUGUCACAUCAUCCAUGUUGAUAGAGGGAGUGAAUUUCUUGGUCGGGGUCUCGAAAAUAUCUUCUGCAGAUUUGAGUUUGAGAAACUCUAAAAUCCAGUCGCUGGAACACGAGGAGAGUAACACCAGUGGGCGACUUCCUGACGAUGUCAUCAGGCACUGCAGAGGACGUCCGUUUACGUACGAUGGAGUGACAGCGCCCACGC